AUUGAACGCUGGCGGCAUGCCUAACACAUGCAAGUCGAACGGCAGCACAGUAUGUAGCAAUACAUAUGGGUGGCGAGUGGCGGACGGGUGAGUAACGCGUGGGAAUCUGCCCUAUAGUGGGGGGACAACCCGACGAAAGUCGGGCUAAUACCGCAUACGCCCUACGGGGGAAAGGCUUCGGCCGCUAUUGGAUGAGCCCGCGUCGGAUUAGCUAGUUGGUGAGGUAAUGGCUCACCAAGGCGACGAUCCGUAGCCUGGUCUGAGAGGACGAUCAGCCACACUGGGACUGAGACACGGCCCAGACUCCUAACGGGAGGCAGCAGUGGGGGAAUAUUGCACAAUGGGCGAAAGCCUGAUGCAGCAAUGCCGCG
rnacentral:rRNA from 1 species